UUCUAGAGUACAAAUAGAUAUUCUCUCACAAGAUAUCUAUAAGAAAGAUAUAAGUAUUAAUAUUUAUACUUAUAGUGUAAUAGACAACUAACUCAAUCAUCCUUGUUUAGUUUUCAGAGAUUGUUUUAAAAUUAGUAAUAGAGCUAAAGGGGAAUUAGCUCAGCUGGGAGAGCGCCUGCUUUGCACGCAGGAGGUCAGCGGUUCGAUCCCGCUAUUCUCCACCAUAAGGGCCUGUAGCUCAGCUGGUUAGAGUGCACCCCUGAUAAGGGUGAGGUCAUAAGUUCAAGUCUUAUCAGGCCCACCAUUAAAAACAUCAUAGUAAAAUUAUAAUCUAUAGUUUAAUGUAUACUGUUUUAUAAAAAUAUAAGAUAAUCUAAGAUAAAAUACCUACCUUUAUUUUUAUAAUCUGAUAAAGUCUAAUUAGAGAGUUAGUAACUAAUUAAUUUUCUAAUUAGAUUUUAUAAUCUAAAUGUUAUUUAAAUUAUCAUUGUUAAAAGUCACAAAAAGUUUUAAUAAAAUAAAACAAUUUUACAGGACUUGUUAAAGCUUUAUAUCUAUAUAAAUAUAAAAGCAAAUCUUUUAAAUUUAACUGUUAUCAAAUUUAAAAGUUUAAAGAUUAUACACGAAACAAUAAAGUUUUUAAAACUUACUUUAUAGUUUAUAAUCUCUUUCCGUCUUAAUUUAUAUAAUAUAAACAUUAUAAAAUAAAUCAUUAUUUUAUCUUUAACAAGGAAGUGAUGCGAAUUAGAAUAUCAACAUAAUAAAUAAUUCUAAUAAGACUUCAUUAAGCGAUAACAUCUAUCUAUAUAUAAUACGAAGUUGCUUUAGCAACUUUGUGCUUUAGGUGGUUCAAAGGAGUGUUUACACUCCUUGUCGCAAUAAGAGCUUUGCUCUUAUGAGAAGUCAAAAAAAGGUA
rnacentral:rRNA from 1 species